ACCGCGGCCGCCGGGCCAGUAGUACAUUUUUACAGAAAAAGACAAUUAUAGGGACUAGGGGAUUGUAAAAUGUAUACAUAAAUAACUUGUUUUGGCUAUUAAGCGUAUCUUUAGGCACGUAAAAAGUAAGUAAAUCGCUCUAGAAGUCUGAAGAAUGCUUAGGCCCUACUCAGCAAAACCAUCAGUUUGGGUUUGGAGAAGAAAUGUCAAAGACGUCUUGUGAGAACUUGAAGACAUGAGCAGACGAGAGUGCCUUGCAAGUCCCACUGAUGUGCUUUGUGCGUCUGACCAGAAACCACUGCAGUGAUGCUUGACAUGAUUAUUCCUCAUCCAUUGCCUGGUAAUACAGUGGAGGAACUUUGUAAGACUGUCUGCCAGCCUGCCACCCUGCCACCCUGCCCAGCCCUCACCCAAAUACAUCACAAGAUGAAGGAGUAGACGAGACUGCCUUGCGAAUCCCACUGAUGUGCUUUGUGCAUCUGACCAGAAACCACUGCAGUGAGGCUUGACAUGAUUAUUCCUCAUCCAUUGCCUGGUAAUACAGUGGAGAAACGUUGUAAGACUGUCUGCCAGCCUGCCACUCUGCCCAGCCCUCACCCAAAACAAUCACAAGAUCAAGAAUGAGCUCCUGCUGUUGACGGACCUACACCAGGCUGUGCAGUGACUGCUGACCAAUAAGGGUUGAAAGGACGGGUAGAGGAGUGGAGGUGGACAUGGAGCCCUUUGUGUUCGACUUCGAAAUACAAGAGGACACGGAGGACUUCUCGAAGGAGUGCCAGGACACGCAAAACCUAGCCGUACUGGCAACAUGUGCCCACUAUAACACUCACACAUUCCCUAAAGUUUUGGUAUCAUCAAGGUCUGUGUCUGGCAGUGCAAUGAACUUGCGCACACCUAGUGGUGUUGCGGUAAGCAACCACUUGGCCAACUGAAACAAAGAUGCGAGGCGAAUUAAUUGUUAUUACCAAAAUAUGGUCAGCAUUUCAGUGCAACAGUGUUUAGAUAAGUACCUAAUAAGCUAGUUGAGCCUGUGGAUUUGUAUUCGAUUUAUAACGGCUAACACUCAUACACAAACAAACACACACACACACACACACACACACACACACUCCCAACAUUUCCUUUGACUCUCCCACACACUCCAACACAACUCCAGUUGAGAAAAUGUUCUUUUCUAAUCUCACCAUUACGGUCUUCCUGGAUGAUAUCAGAAUAACAGCCACUCUUGGAAAUGUGUAGUAAAUGUUUUAUUUAUGUGCACGUUUAUACUUCAAUUGUUUUCAUUUAGUAUUGUGUUUGGAUGGCAUUUUUAUCUUAAGAAAUAAGAUGCUUCAGAGGCUGAGAGUGCACAUAGUUAAAUGUCUGCACAUAUGUAAUUAUUCAUAUUUUAAUUAAAAGUUGUUGUUUUUGUUUGAUUGUCCUGGUCCGUCUUUGGUGGAUUUGA